CUGGUAUAAGUACGAUAUGGUAAGAGGGCACCCAGCCACUCUGCGUUCCAAAUAAAUCAGCCAGGAGCAUCCUGAAAAAGAUGUGAUCACGAAACUGCUCUUAUUAGUCUUGUAGCAAUUACAAUGAAGGGAAGAAGGGGUAAAUUCCAAAGAAAGGGGAGAAGCAGUGCCAGAACUACAAAGCUAUAACUGGAUUUUACUUUUACGUUCAAAUCCAAGAGCAUGUUGUCAAACAAGACGUUUUUUCAGUACUUUGAAAAGAGAUGGGGAAUCAUGAGGAACCAAUAGGGAUUCAUGAUAUUAACCUCUUCUCAUAUUAGUGGAUUAAAAGAUCAAGGAAACAUAACAAGGAAGUUUGCAAAACCUCUCAUUAAAUUUUCACAGACAAUCCAGGAAAAUACAGACCUGAUACCAUACUUGGAGGAGUCAUAAUCAAACAAAUAAGUGUCUGUCUAUGUGCCUCACACAUAAUAGAUUCUCAGUAAACAUUUAUUUGUUGAAUGAAUGUAGGGAAGAUUAUCUUUAUGGGCUCCCCACCCUCACCCCUCCAGGCAGUUCAUUCUCUUUCCUAUGAUCUUAGAGCACUGAGUUCACAAUAUAUCAUACCUCAUAUUGUAAUUCUUUUUAUGUGUCUGUCACUCCCUCUAGAACAUCAUAAAGUCCUCCAGCCAGCCUCUUACUCAUCUCUUGUCUCUAGGGCCCAACACUGUGCCUGAAAUAGCACGGUGUUUAAUUAGUGUCUGCGAAUUAAGCAAACGAACAACAACUCUAGAAUCAAUAUGCCCAAAGCUCAGAAAGGUUGGGGGAAAAAGUACUAAAUUCACUUAAUAAACAAUAACAUGAUAGGACUACCCUUCAAAAGGAAAUAGAAUCAUGAGCUGGACGAAUAAAAAGGAACCUUGAUAAACUGAGGCCUGGGAUAUUGAAACGUAUGGAAACACACUCCUACAAAGCAUGAUUUGAAAACUGAGGGAUGUUUAGGUUCCGUGAGAAACUCAAAAGAAACAUAACUGGUUUCUUCAAGUAUUUACAAAGGGCUAUCACAACAAAGCCUGGACUGAUGUCGUGUGUCCUCAGAGCGCAGAACCAGGCAGAUGGUAGAGGAGGGUGCAUGUGGUUAGGCUACCAGGAACGGGUCCUAGCAAGUAGAGCUGCCCACUAAUGCGACAGACUGAUUUUCAAAGUAGGGAACUCCUAGUCUCUGAAGAUUUCCGGGAGAGGUCAAAGAACCACUUAACAAUCCAAGAGAUGUUUCAGGCAUAUUAUGGAGGGGCAUUCUGAGGUUGGAAGGAAGAAUAGCUGAGGCCACCACCCAGCUUCUAAUGUAAAGUUAGCCCUGCAUCACUCCUUUUAACACAUGAUUCUACGGCGGUCUUCAGUUUAUAUGCCCCACAUUUCUGCCUGAUUUUCAUUACAGGCAUUGUGUUUGCUGUCUUAAAAUUCUUCCUCACUUUGACUGGGUUAAGCUGUUUGAAUCGAAUUCUAUGCUGUGUUUAUCAAUAAAUACAUUAACUAUCAAUAACUGCUUUUCAUCCACAGCUACUGGUUUUCUCAAAUGUAAGUGCUCCCCCUUUUUCCCAGUUACACUAUGUAGGUAAAGAAGCUGUGCUCUUUUCAGAAAAACAGGGCAUUUAAUUGCCAUCUUUCAUUACAUCUUCAUCCAGAUUUAUUUUUCUGCUUUUCUUCUUCACAAGCUCACGUCCUUGAUUCUUCAGCUACACUCUAAACAAACCUCACAUCUCCAGAUUAUCUGCACCUAUUAGGCAUUCAGAUACCUCAGGAGGAGGCCAUUAAGAAGAUAAAUACAUUGGAAUGAACAAACUUUAAAUAUAAUUGGUUGACUGGUUCAUUUUUGUCUCUAAGUUUUGUUCUGUCUUUAACAGCAACGACAACGCCUCAGAAAGCAACUCUGGGGAGUGGUUUCCAAGCAGAGUUGACUCCUCAAGAUUUUCCAUGAUAUCCAUUUGAGAAAAGAAGAAUACAUGCAAAUACCAUUUUCUGACAAAACUAUCUGGGGACAAGUAAGUGACCAUAUAUAUUUCAAUGACCAAGUAGAAUAUGAAGUAGGAGGAAACUGUUCAAUAAUAUGGGAACAGGACUUCAAAGAGUGGAAUAUCAUUUAUUGGCUAACAGUGGAUUGAAGGGUCAGGAGCCUUGAGACCUUCUGUUUCAGGAAUAUAACCCAGCAAAGAGUUGCCUUCUGUGUGGUCCAUUGACCCCGUGCUGGCCUGUCCCAGAGUCCUGUUCACAACGCUGUGAUGAUGACCAUGGAAGGCGUUCUUGGCCACUUUGCAACUCCAGUCCCAGACUUUGUAGGGCUUGGGACCCUGGAGAUGAUUAAUGUUUGUUGAAUGAAUACAUGAACAAGUCAAUGGACUUAGACGCCGGUCAGUGACAUGGGAGGAAGGUGGAAAUAUCCGUCACAGAUGCCCCGGUGGUUAAACUAGAUGAGAGGAGUGAAAAAGUUAAGGUCAGCACCGAACUAACGUAAAGACCCGGAGAAAUGACUCUCAAGGAAACAAAGUGGCUCUUCUGGUGAAGAGCCGAGCAGGUCGCUCAGUCCCCCGUGGGUCCGUGAGGGGAAGAGAGGGCAUCUCUGAAUCAGGACGGCAGAUGUGUGCCACACUGUGCACCUGUACUAAAGAAAAUGCUUAAAAUCUGCAUAUUUGGGAAGGAUCUGCUGCCCGCAGGCUCUUCCGAGGUGGGAAAGACCUCCCGGUCAUCGCUGCAACCCCGGCAGAGCUCCGGGCCCAGGAAGCGGGGGACCCCAGGGUCUGUGUCCUGCCCUGCAUCCACAGGGGUGCUCUGAGACGACCCCAGGACCUGCCACCUGGUCUGGAGGUCCCUUCGAUUCUUUCCCCGGACUCCAAAAGAGAACCCCAAUUUCAACUCCUGUGUGACAAGGGACCUUCGAGGGCUCGCCUUUCCCCCAGCCUCUCAGAUGGGACAGGCUUCUGCCUCCAGAUUUCUUUAGAACGCCUAGAAUUAUUCGCCAGGGUUAUCCCAGCUCACUGUCCCUUUAACACGCCCUUUAUUUUCCAUCAAAAUCAGUUUUCCUAAGCUUACAGUCAUCUCCCCCCCUCCUCGUGAUAUAAAUUAUAUUUCAAACCCUUUUAUAAUGGGGGAUACAGCUAUCCCAUUAUAGUCUUCAAACAAAGAAGCUUCAGUGAUGGUUUGAAACUGAGUGCAAAGCUUGUGUUAGGAAUAGGGAGUCGCUGGAGGCAUCGCCAGGGUUCCUGAUGGUCCAUACAGGUAAAGGGCCCCUUAAGGAACUCCCCGGCUUGGGGUGGGGGCAGGGAAGCGUCUGCUGACAGUCUGGGCUGUGCCUCGGGGCUGGGUUCGAUGGAUGCCAGCCAAUCUCACAAGGACACAUAUAAACAGGAAGAAUUUUACAUUAUUCAAUGUCAUUUCUCAGUUUGGCUAAGAGCCCAUUGAGUAUCUUAAGUUGACUGGCCUUUAAGUGAACAAAUGCAGAUUAUAAGCAGAGCAAUAAAGACACUGGAAAACAUAGGUGUAACGUGGCCCAGGGGACAGAGUCCUAUGCCAGGUUUUCUGGAAGGAAAAAUGACUGUCGGAACACAAUGUCUCAGGUAAAACUUGACUUAACUAGGAUUUUGAGUUUUAUCCUUCCAGUAAUCAGGAUUCUUCUCUUUCAACCUAUGAAGUAAGUUACUUUAUAAUUAAAAACUUGGCAGUCAUCUUGACUAAGGAGUGGAUGAGGGCAAAAAUCACAGUUAAGAAAAAGAAUACAAGGAGUUCCCAUCGUGGCUCAGUUAUUAACGAAUCCGAUGAGGAACCUUGAGGUUGCAGGUUCUAUCCCUGGCCUUGCUCAGUGGGUUAAGGAUCCAGCAUUGCCGUGAGCUGUGGUGUAGGUCGCAGAUGUGGCUCAGAUCCUGCGUUGCUGUGGCUCUGGCAUAGGCCAGUGGCUACAGCUCCGAUUAGAUCCCUAGUCUGUGGACCUCCAUAUGCCGCGGGAACAGCCAAAGAAAUGGCAAAAAAAAAAAAAAAAAAAAGAAAAAGAAAAAGAACGCAAAAUACCCAGUAAAAUAUCUGCGAUCACUUCUGGAAACUAUUCUUAGCUAAGGAAAUGAAAUUCCUUUUCAUAAUGCAAUCGCUAUAAAAUAUUUUAUGCAGUAUCAUGCUAACAUUGACUUCAUAUUACUGUGAGAAAACAAACAAACUUGCCAAGCUCUAAAUAUUUGUCAUCUCAUGUUACAGCCCAUAAUAAUCACAGCCUCUUACAGUUAGAAGGUAACCAAAGAAACAGAAGCCUGCGAGACUCACUCUUUCAGAUGAAGGUCCUAAUACACACUGAUACGAAACACGGUACCUAUGACCCACCGUCCCGCCAAAGCAUUCACACAGGACGUGAACCGGUCAUUGCAGGAAAAUGCCUGGUCCAUGAAAAGGAGGUCAGGACUCCGGCUCCCUGCAGGGAUGCGCAGAAUAUCACCGGAAAACCAUCCUGGUAAAAUCACUCAGCUGUGCUGGCUACAGUACAAGACGCAAUUUUUAACACACGUGGCUAAGUGUGUAAGACAAAAGGGAAGUCAAAGAGAAGGGUUCUCAAAAUGCCCCAGGACCUGACAACCAGUGAGAAUGAGGUGACAUGACGGUGGCCUGGGAGACAGUCUUGGGGAGCAGUGCAGCCUGAGGAAGCUGGCAGCCUGGCCCAUGUGGAGACAGAAAAGCAGUCCCCUGGAGGCAGGAAGCAGUGGUUAUCUCUUUGGAGGGAGAAAUGGCGAGGAGACAGAGAUGGAGAUUUAGCCAAAUCUGCAAGGUUUAAUUUCUUAAAUGAUUAGCAUCUGUUUUAUUUUGAGGGCAGGAGCAUAGAUCUGAUAUCAUUUUUUUUUAUUCUUUUCUUGUUGAAACACUUUAUAGUAUUUUUUUUUUUUUACUUUAAAGAAAAAAAUCCCUAGAGCUCUAUAAACCACGCAUAAAAUAAAGGAAAAACAUGUUAAGAGCUAAAGAGAAAGGCACAUCCAUUCUUGGGAGAAUCCAGGAAGCUGGUGGCCUGAUCGGAUGCUGAAGAGCUUGGAGGGUCCACACGGCAGUCAAAAGAGUUUUUUCAAGUCAAUGUACAGACAUUACAAGAUUGGAGGUGCUGGCUGAAUGAUGGAAGAUGCUUGGAAAACCAGAAAGAAGUGCUUGGCAGGAGGCUCAGGGCUGAUAACAGGAGAAUAAGGAGGAGCCAGAGCAGAUCAGAAUGGGAAGAGCAGAGAGUGUUGUUAUGUUGCUUAUUUAGGUUUUGUUUUUUUAAGAAUCCUCUUCCAGCAUUUGCAGGAUGGAACACUAUUCUGCUGAAGUGCAUGCACACACACACACACACACACACCCCUAAAUGGAGUACACUAUCCCCAAAACAAGAGACAAAUUAGGAUUCUAGGCUUCUUACCAAAUUAUGAUUUCUAUUUUAUGCCAAAGUAAUCUUCGCAAGAGAUUUCUAGGAAGCAGGUUGGAGACCAAAGGAGAGUUUGAAAAUAAAUUUCAUGCGUGCUGGGAGUUCCUGUUGUGGCACAGCGGAAAGGAAUCCAACUGGUAUCCACAAGGAUGAGGUUCAAUCCCUGGCCUCGCUCAGUGAGCUGGGGAUCAGGUAUUGCUGUGAGCUGUGGCAUAGGUCGCAGAUGCAGCUCGGAUGCCUCGUUGCUAUGGCUGUCGUGUAGGUGGGCAGCUACAGCUCCAAUUCAACUCCUAGCCUGGGAACUUCCAUAGGCUGCAGGUGCAGCCCUUAAAAAAGGGGGGGGGAUUGUUUAAAUAAAUUUCAUGAGUUCUAAGAAAUGGCAGGCUCUACCAAAGAUAAUCCUUCAAAAUCCCUAUUUUCUUAUUUAGAUGAGUUACCACUAUACCUAGGAGUGAAAAAGAAAUCAAUAUGAAAAAAUGAGAUGACCCAGAGAAGGGGCUAAAAUGUCAACAAAGUGGGAAAUAACUAAUCGGUUUGUGAGGAUUAGAAACGCUAAUUCUAUUACAUCUCUGGCGAGUUCCUGCCACACAUUAUUCCUAUUUUUUUGGCAGCUUUCUAGCUUUUAGAUGACAUUCUGUUUCCUGACACUUCUCUCCCACCUUCUUAGCUAUUUACCUCUUACGAGAUGCUGUUCUGCCAUUGGAAUCUUUGGAUUCCCCCCACGUGACUACCUU
rnacentral:lncRNA from 1 species